CCGCAGGAGCGACCCAAGAAAUAGCAAAAAGGACAAAAAAAAAAAAAAAAAAAAAAAAAAAAAAAAAAAAAAAAAAAAAGAAAUGUUAGGCAUAGUGUUCAUUCACUUAAAGAAAGUUAUAUUUAAUGAGGAAUACACAUAGCUAAUUGUUUAACAGACUGUAGCAUCAGUGUUUGUGAGUGUAUGUUGAGCUGAGAAAAGCCUAGCAUUUUACUUUAUUUUGCUUUUUAGGGCCACACCUGCAGCAUAUGGCAGUUCCCAGGCUAGGGGUUGAAUUGGAGCUGUAGCUGCCGGCCUACAUAACAGCCACAGCAAUGCGGGAUCCCAGAGACGUCUGUGCCCUAUACCACCCCUCACGGUAAUGCUGGAUCCUUCCACCAAGCAGGGCCAGGGAUCAAACCCUCAUCCUUAUGGAUACUAGUUGGUUUCUUUUCCACUGUGCCACAAGGGGAAUUCCCAAGUCUAGCAUUUUAGCAAUGAAUAUAUGUAAAGAUCUUACCUUUUGCCUUUAAGUCAUUUUCUGAUAUUAGAUAUACAUAGAACUUUAUUACAAGCUAUAUGAAAGAAUUUAUAAGCCCAGCCCAACUAUAUUUCAGUGAAAAACUUAUAUGUGAAUCAUGCGUCUUGGGUUGUAUAACAGAGUUUUUCCCACACUAGAGUUAUAUAGAUGCCUCUUACAAGCUACAUGAAGGAAAUUUUUGGCACAUUCAUCAAUGAAAAAGUUAUAUACAUGAGAAAUGCAUGUGGUGAAUUAUUUAACAGACCUAUAACUUCAAAGUUUCCAUGCAUGCACUGUAGUUAUGAAAAGAAUAGUUUUCUAAUAAGGAAUACACAUAAAAAUCUUCUGUUUGCAGAUGAAGCUAUAUUUUCAGAUAUGAUAGAUUGUCAUUACAAGCCAUAUGAAAGAAAUUUUAGGCACAGUGUUCUUUCAGUGAAAGGAAAUUAUAUUCUGUGUCAUGCAUGUAGUAGACUUUAUAAUUUUGUAAUAACCUGUAGCUCUAAUGUUUAUAAGGCUACUUUGACUCUGCAUGAAGUCCAGUGUUCUAACAGCAAAUAGAUGUGAACACCUUUUGAGUCUGUGUAAUAAUGUACUAAAUUUGAUAUAUAUUGAUGUUUGUUACAAGCUAUGUGAAAAAAUUUUGGACAGUGUUCUUUCAGCUAAUGGAGGUGUCCUGCAGCGAGUCUUAUUUAACAAAUUUGUAACACUUGUAAGUAGGAUUGCUUAGAAGCUACAGUAUGUUCAGUGUUCUAAUAGCAAAUGGAUAUGGAAGUCUUUCCCAUUGUAUAUAAAGAUUUGUCACACACACACAUACAUGUAUAUAAAAAAUUAUAUAUAGAGUGUUAUAUGCAUACAUAUAGUGUAUAUAUAUGUGUAUGUGUGUGUAUAUAUAUAUGUUAUAUUAUUACAAGCUAAUGAAAGAAAUUUUUGACCUAUAUCACUACUUAGUUUCUAAGGCUACGUAGAAGCUGUGCUAAGCUCUGCGUUCUAACAGUGUAGGAAAUUGAAAUCCUUUCCCUUUAUCUGUAAAGGCUUGUUCGCAUGUUAAUAUACAUAUUUGUCAUGAAAUUAAUUUUUGGCAAAGUGUUUUUUCAGUGAAAGGAGGUUGUACACAGUGAUCCAUGUCAGUGAACAGUUUAACAGUUAUAGAACACUUGUGUUUCUAAAGCCUUCUUUAAAUUUUUUCUUUUUAGGGCCACACCUGCAGCACAUGGAGGUUCUCAGGCUAGGGGUCUAAUCAGAGCUAUUCCUGCCAGCCUACGCCAGAGCCACAGCAGAGCAGCAUCCGAGCUGCAUCUGCAACCUACACUACAGCUCACGGCAACACCAUAUCCUUAACCCACUGAAUGAGGCCAGGGAUUGAACCCACAACCUCACGGUUCCUAGUCGGAUUCGUUUCCACUGCACCACGAUGGAAACUCCUCUAAAGCCUUUUAAUUCAAAGAGGAACGUGAGAGUUUCUACUUCAUUUAAAUUAGCAAAGGGAAAAAACCCCACAACUCCUGGGCUAUGCUGUAAAUUAAAACGGGAUUUUACUAAAACAACAUUCAAAUCUAUCAUGUGCUAUUUACAAUAAUAAAUAAUAGUCUUUCAAAAUAGGUAAAGGAGUCUUGGGAAUGAGGCAUCAGGGAGAUGGUGCCAGCUCACAUCAAGUCCCUAUGCUGCCUCUCUGCCACAGUGAAUGUCGCAUUGUCACUGGACACACAUUUGCCCCUGAUUUUGAUGAGUGCCAAUUCUUCUUGGCCUUGAGUUUUCUGUUGCCCAGAUAGGACUUGGCCUCCAGCUAGCAGGACAAGAGGUAGGUAUAGGAGAGAGUGGUACCUGUGAGUUCCCAGGAGCCACAAUUCAGGUGUCACUCACAGUGUCUGCCCAGCAGCUGGAAUUCCAGUGAUGGCCAUGCAACAAGGUCUAGGGAUGACCAAGAAGAUGUGAACUUGGGUUCUCUAAAUUGGCUGGUAGGGAGAGUCCACUCCACCUCUCCCUUCUGCUCAGCCUCACCUCCCAUUCUCACUGAACCACUCCAUGUCUCAGAAUCAGACAUCAAAUUGCUCCUCAGGCUCUCUAUCUGUAGCCACCCAGAGCAGCAUGAUCUCUGCCAUUACUGUGCAUUCCUGGGACCAGAGGGAAGGAGAUGAUGGAGGGGUGAGGAGAGAGGCAGGGCAUUGGUCCUGGGUCUUUGCACACACGAGACUCCACCUUCCCUCCAUUUGCAUCAAGGUCCUACCUGUUCUCAGAAAUGGAAUAAAUUUCCUGCAGGAAAUUUUCCUUGGUGCCGUUCCUCAACCCACCCACCAGUUGGAUAGGUCUCCCACUCCUCUGUUAUUAAACUCUCCCUGUAAAUGUAAGGCACAGGGGAUGGAGACCUGGAGGUUUCUGCCCAGGGGUACUUCUGAUUUCUGUUCCCUUCCCCUCUUCCAUAGGAAGUGCCAAGCUCUUGCCUUAUUCUUUUUCUGGUGGUUGAUCUCAUUCUCUAAGGUAGACAGACACCUGAAAGGGUCCCCUAGUCGUUACUAGCACCCUAUGCCCACCCUUUUCAUGUGGCACUACCAUCAGGCCUCACAAAGGGGCUGGGCUUGCCUAGAAAACGGGAUGUAAACCUUGGUCAGGUCGUGGCCCCCAAGAGCGUGGGACAUGGAGGCCGAGGCUCAGGGAUCUUGUAGCACAACCCUCAGUGACGACACUCAGAACCUGAGGCUUUAGGCUCCCUCUCUUCUUUGUUGCUGGACUUGUGGGUCCCCCAUAUCACUCUCACCCCAUGGACACCACCUGAAGGAGAGGCUAAGUCCAGCUUUGCGGUCAGGCAGAUCUACUGCUCUGCCAGCCUUGAAAACUGGGACCAGUGUGUAUUCUGUGGAGCCUCCUUUCACUCAUCUUUAAAAUGGACAUGAUGUCCCAGCUCACAGGGGUGGUGGGGAGCCUCUCCUCAGAGGUUUCCUGAGUGCUGACCAUUGAGGGCUCAGCUACAGGUCUCUCUCUUCCCAAACCUCAAUUCUGAUCCCCCUGGCCUAGCCCACAGGCCCCCUUACCUGGCCCAGAUAAUUCUCCCUCACCGGGCCCAGCAUGACCUGAUUAAUGAAGAUUGUGCUAAGGAAGGGGACAGACACCUGUGUCAUCAGGGAGGGGGGUGGGAUGAGCCUCUACUCCCAGAUUUGCCUGGGUCCCCUCUCUUGAAAACUCCUCACCCUCAGCUCCUGGCCUUGCCCCAGGUUUUCCUCAAGGAGCAGCCUAGGAGGAGCCUUAAUAAUCUCCUUUCAAUUUCCCUCCCCCCACUCUCCAAGAAUAUAAGACUCCUGUGCAGACCUUCUGUAGCAUCUUCUGGGCUUAAUGGAGGUUCACCAUCAAGGGGCGAACAUGGAGGGCUGCUCCUGUCAGGGCCGAGGACAGGGUCAUUGAGGCCAUACUACCCCCACCAACCUCCCAUUUUUGUCCAGUACCUGAGACCUCAGACCCUGACAUCUGAUCCAUGUUAGCUGAUACUCCAUUCUCCAGCAUGCUCUGAUUCUAGACUAAUCCCACCUCCAAAACUCACUCAGUGUGUGCUUUUGGCCCUGCAGCCUGCCCCUGCCCCCCAUGAGCCUGUUUCUUCAUCUGAAAAGUGUAGGAAUCCCAGCUACCACAAGGGUCUCCUGAAGACUCCACCCUUCGCACUGUGAUGCUGUCAUCAUUGUUCUUGUAUCAGCCUGCAGCUGUAUCGGGACAGAAAGAACCUCACAUUCCUGUCUUCCCUUUUACCUCAUCGCCACCCUGUGAGGCCCGCACCAGAGGCUUAUUAUCCCUCCGCUUUCCAGAUGAGGAGGCAGAGGCCAAAGAGAUGCAGUGAGGCUUAGGGGUCCACAGAGGACAGGCUGCACCUCCUGUUAGCCAGAGGCCCUGUUCCAGCUUCCCUCAUCCACCCCAGUCCCACCUGGAAUGAGAUGUCCUGUCCACUUGACUCUCAAGUUUGUCCAGGCCCCUAUCUGAGUGGAGCUGUGGAUGGAGAGGGAUGGGGUGGUUGGAAGUCUGGUUUUAGUUCCCUGCCUGCCCCAGAUCCGCUGGAGCCUCUGCCACUCAGGCUGGAACCAAAGCCAUGCUGAUGCCUUCCCUGCCCCAGGAUCAGCUUAUAACAUUCCCCUGUAUAGCAGUUUCUUUUUAUCUACUCAGUAACAUAACCCCUGAGGUACCGCCUCUGACUGAUGGGGUAGGAGGUGACAGAAACUUUGCUUGCUCCUUUACGUGAAGCUUCUAAAGUCCUUUCAGGAAAGGUCCACUAAGAAUUCAUAAGAUGCUCAGACACUUCUCAUCAGCCACCUGGGGCAUGUGUCACAGUUAACUAGGCACCCAGGUGAGAAUCCCGACUGUGACUGACUAGCAGCAACUGUGUGCGGGGCACAGUGGGGAGUCACAGACGGCAUGUAUAUCUUGUCUCUAUUCCAGCCAUUUGUACCCAAGGCUGGGCAGUGCAUCAUACACCUGGCCCAUGGGCUUCCCCUGCAGUACCCAUCCUUGGGGCAAGAAGGAUGCACUACCCUUGGAGGUGUGGUGAGUACAGAGGAGCUGCAGGAACCUGGGUUCCUGAGAACAGACUGGGUUGGUUUAGGGAAGAAAGUUGCCUCCUCCCACCCAUCCAUUCAACAGCCUAGAAAAAGCUAAGUGCCAGCAGGAUGGACCAGCAUGGAAGCCAAAGAUCUGCUAAUUUUGUUAUCUCAGCAUCCCCUCCUAGAAUAGCCCAGCCAUCACUUUACCUCAUUACUAAGAUCUCCUGCCCUUCAACCUGACUUUGGACAAAACUCUCCUUCUUCCUCUUAAGCCAGAAAAUACUGGAAUUUUUCAAAGAAUCUUUAGGCAAG
rnacentral:lncRNA from 1 species